rnacentral:tmRNA from 1 species
GCCAUUGAACGCCGCCACAGAGCGGUCUAUAUCCAACCCUGUUCGGGGCUUGCUCCGGACUAUGGCGAUAAACGCGCACGGAAUAAGCGGAUCGGACCCGGGGGCGGUACCCGGCGGCUCCACCAAUCACCCUUGUUGGGGCGGAGGGGGCCGAAACAGGAUCGACGAACGUGUAAAGGUGAUUGCUUUCGCUCGGUGAGGUACCACCGUUACCGGUCCAAAAGUACAGUUGCCAACAACAACCGUGCUCCGGUGGCUCUGGCUGCGUAAGCAGUUCGAGUACCGAAACUAAGUCCUUGCAGGUAGCACUGUAAGGCGGGGUUCGCAGGCACCUGGCAACAGAAGCCUGCACU